GUAUUUUCCAGCGUUCAGUUCACAUCAAGGAUGGGUAUGCACUGGCGGAAAAGGCCCUCAGGAGGAAGCACUCAUCUUUAACAAGACCUGCUUUCUCAGGACUGCAAACAAGAGAAAAGCCCAAUAAGAGGAAAGUGAAGUGUGAAAAUCCAUUUCAAAGAACUUUACUGAGAACUCACCAUGUCAGAGAGCUUCCAUUAAUACAGUUGCUUCAAAACCAAUAGGCAGAACCCAAAGUAAUGGAUGACUCACCAGGACUUUUAGCAGCUAAUGGAGUACUCUGAGAAAUGCUGUAAAUCCAAUAUUUUUGCUGAAAAAUUAAUGUGUUAUGGGAGGGAGCCUCUUUUCUAAUCACUUACCCACCCCCACCCUCUACUUCUAGUUCACCAUCAGCAUCUUUAGCUCUUCUAAUUUUUGCCAAAGCUGAAUGCAGUUCUUUCCCAAUUUUCUUAUAUCAUUUUAAGUAUUAUAUAUGCUAUCUUACCAGGCCCACUCAGAGAAACAGCACUUAUCUUUAAAAUUAUUUUUUAACUACUCCCCACAGCCUACGGCCAAUAAAAACUCUGUAAACUAUGUUAAAUAUACCAAAGUAAAGUUUCCAGAAUUCACAGAGAGAUCGAUAAAUAUUUACUAAGUGCCUUCUACAGACAAAGCCCUGGGAAGUAUAAAGGAGCAAAACAUGCACAGUUCUUGUCUCUAAACAUGGCUUACAAUGUCAUUAGGCAUAUGACCAAAGCUAAUAAUAAUCCAAGGCAAAAAACUUGGGAGAUCAUAUACAAAACAAAUGCUAUAGGAGUUCAAAGUGGGGAAAGACUGUGGCUGGUGUGGUCAGAGAAAGACAGCUUUGCACAAAGCUGAAAAACUGCAGGAGUGAUGGAGAACAUUUCUCCCAAACAGGACAUUUUCAUAAAAGAGAAAUCUAGAAACUCCACCUGUAAAAUCUCUUUCUUGGAAUAUAUCUCCAUAACAAACAGAACUUUAAGGGAAAAAAUGACCCCAGUUUCAAAAACACAAAGAAUUUCUGGGAUUCUGAAUUUGGACUAACAGAUAACUCCACCAAAAUUCAUUCUUUACUUGUCUCUGUUUGAAGGUGACAUAUUUCUGGAUGAUCUGGGCUUCUUUGGUCAUCCACAGUCUGUGCCCCUAGAACUAAGGAAGGUUGUGUACAUCUCAGACAGUUUUCACUUGCAACUGAGCCAUGUCAGCCGGCUCCAACUGAAUUGACUUGGGACCAUUCUACUCAUUGCAUAUGGCAUGAUACAGACUGCCAGAACCCUCAUUUCCUUUAGUGCCACAUUAUCAAUUAGGAAUGGGAAGGAUCCUGGCACAUGCCAACCCAACUCCCAAACCCUUCAGUAUCUGGCAGUCUUCUAUUCUGUACAUGCACUCACCAAAAUAUACAUAAACGAAUGUUCAUAGCAGCACUAGCCAUAUUAGCCCCAAACCGGAAACUAUCCAAAUAUCCAUCAACAGUCAGUAGACAAAUUGUAGUAUAUUCAUAUCAUGGAAUACUACAAAACAAUGAGGAUGAAUUUGACAAGCAUAACACUUAAUCCCAAGAAACCACACACAAAAGAGAACAUACUCUAUGGUUUUAUGUAAUAUAAAGUUAAAAAGAAACAAGCAAAACUAAUAGCAUCAGAAGUGAGAAUCAUGGUUACCCUGAAGCAGGGGGAUUUAGGGACUGGAAGGGCCACAAGGGGGAUUUCUAGGGUCCCAAAAUGUCUGUUUCUUAGUCUGUGAGGUGGUUACAGGGAGCAUUUACUUUAUGAAAAGUCAUCCAACUGUAUACUUAUGAUAACAGUUUUCUAUAUGAAUGCUUCAUUUCAAUAAAAAGUUUACCUUAGAAAAACUGAAAACUGUUGUAUUAAAGGAUUAUAGUAGGAUGAGCAAAACUUACUUUACGGUUGAAAAGCAAUGUGUAUAUUCACAUCUAUGAUUUUUAUUUAAACUUCUUAUUUAAUAUGGUGACUUGGUUUUAAUUUGUUUAGCCACUAAUAUAUGUUUAUUUAGAUAAGGAAAUAUAUACUCAUAGCAAUGUCAUA
rnacentral:lncRNA from 1 species